rnacentral:tRNA from 1 species
AAGCAUAGUUUAGUGGUAGAACUUCAGCUUCCCAAGCUGACUGUGCGGGUUCGAUUCCCGUUGCUUG